GUACUCACUUUUCUCUUCAAAACGCAUAAAUCUUUCGCCUUUUACUAAAGAUUUCCGUGGAGAGAAACAAAUGAGCCUUGAUUGAAUUUUUUAAGGCCUUGUGUGUGCAAGGCU
ensembl:snRNA U5 U5 spliceosomal RNA